AACAGAAAAAGCCAACCCCGCAGUGAUGCGGGUGCACGGAAAGCCACGUGACUCCGUCCCACGCGGAGUAAGACGGGUUGCCUAC
rnacentral:ncRNA from 1 species